AGCGCUAUCGUCUAGUGGCAGGACAACACGUUGUGGUUGAUAGCAAUAUCCGUGUAAACGAUGGUUCGAUCCCGUCUGGCGCUA